GCCGCCGGGCGGUGCUUGGUGCCAUGCGGCGCUGCGCGGGGCAGGCGGGCGACGCGCAGAAGGAUGAAACCAACGAGGACUUUGUUCAAGUUAGAAGGAGGGAUUUGGAAAGGCUGACGACCGAGGUUAUGCAACUGCGGGAUUUCUUACCCAAGGUACUCGAUGGUGAUAUUGUGUGGACCUUCCAGAAACUGGAUGCUAUUGAAUCAAGCGUGGAGAAAAAGGAGGAGGAAAUAGAGCAGCUGAAAAUGGAUUGUGAGCACUUCAGAGCCCGCCUGGAAGCAGCCCAGGCAGAUUGCAUGAGGGAGAAGAAGGAGAAACUAGACCUCCGGCAGCACCUGCAUGAGGCCAAGCAGCAGCUCCUGCAGCAAGCAGAGUAUUGCACAGAAAUGGGUGCAGCUGUCUGCACCUUGUUGUGGGGUGUAUCUAACAACGAGGAGGCUGUUAAAACCAUUCUAGGAGGAAGCAAGACAGCAAAGUUUUUUACUAUCACUGCACAGACUAUGGAGAGCUUUGUGAAGUCACUAAGUGAAGACACAAAACAGCAGGAUUUGGAUUCUGAUGAAAAUCAGUUUGUGUUAGCGUUGGCAGGGAUUGUAACAAAUGUGGCUGCGCUGGCAUGUGGCCGUGAGUUCUUGGUUAGUUCAAGUCCUGACCUAUUGGACACAAUGAUGCACCUCCUGGGAGAGAUGAAGCCGGGACUCUGUACGAAGUUUAAAGUGCUAAUGCUAAUGUCACUAUACAAUGUGAGUAUCAACUUGAAAGGCUUGAAGUACAUCAGUGAAAGUCCGGGUUUUAUUCCUUUGCUUUGGUGGCUCUUGAAUGCCAGGAUCUUCACCUUCUGCUGGCCUUGAUUAGAUUAUGAACAUCUGGAGUUGCCACGGUGUAAAGUCUUACAUUUUUUUUCCAUGCAAGAGAACCGAGCAAUGCGGUUUGCUGUCAGCGUCCCGUAUGUGCUGCCGUCCUACAGGAAGCUUCUUCAAAGAUUGUUUUGGCUAAGGCUUGAGAGAUGAUUCAGCUUUCCACAGUUCUCUAAGCCUUUAUCAGCGCUCUCACUAAGACAGUCCUCUGAAAGCAUCCUCUGGCUUUUUUUUUUUUUUAAUUUUCAGAGAAUCAUCCUGUUUGCUGUCGCCAAUCUACGAGUGUCCGUGAUCUCAGACUAUACAUCAAGAGCAAUGGCUUGUAUACAACAGAUAAAUCCCUCAAGUUCUUUCUCAGAAUUUUUAGUUACUUCCCAAUCUUCUUGUCCCCCGAGGAAGAAUGUCCUUCUCAUUAAGUGAAGAAGAGAACAAACACACACGAUAACUUGAUUCUCUUUAUUCUCCCUUGUUAUAACUAAAGCAAAGAGUGGUUUGAUUCAGAUUGUUUGGUAGACUUCUUUGAAAUAUGCCAUGACAUCGAACACAUGGAUGGUAAGAGAAAGGAGGCAAACCUGGUAAUGAUUCCUAGUGGAGAAAGAAUGUUGACAACAAAGGGUUUUUGUCUGUUCUGCUGUCUUUAGAAAAUUUGGAUGAGCCGGAAUGUCUUCACAUGCACUAAAAAGAAUCCUUAAUAGCUCCUUCUGCUGGAGGCUAUACUGAAAACAGGUGAAAAGCAAAUGCUUGACACACUUUCUGAAGGUAAUGCAGAGCUGUGUAGCCUUAGCACUGUAUGACAUAGGCUGUUCUCUUCCUCUUUUUUCCUCCCUUAUAAAGUACUGCCUGAGAGGUGGGGCAUCCUUUAAUAAGCAACAGUGAUCACUGAAGAAAACAGUCCCAUAGCUAUGCAGCUGUUGUAUUCUUGCAUAGCUAUCACCUAUCCCUACCUGUAUGUUCCCAGCCUGGUGCCAGCAUAAAAUAUAUAAAAUACGUGAAUGAUGACUCAGAUUGCUGUCUGUGAAGCAGCUUGUGGAAUUAGUAGGCUUCUCUUCUCAUGGAGCACCAUUUGUGUGUAGAGCAGCUGUUGCUGUCUUGGAGGAUAUAGGCAGCUUUAGUUUUCUCCAUCUCCAUCUGCUGUCCCUGUGUUGAUAUCUUGGCUAAAGGUUUUAUGUAACUUUCAGAUUUCAGGAAGCUCUGUCCUCAGCAGUAGGAAGAGAAGUUAUAUAACUUUGGAUAGAAAUCCUCUUGAGAUUUGUCGGUAUUUUUUUGCUGGUGCUUUACUUCUGUAGCUGCAUUAAGACUUUCAAUCUGCCAUUUUCAAAGAGGUAGACUGAGACUUUUCCCUGCAAGGGAUCUUUUGAAGAAGUUGGAGACAACUCAGGUGUUACUGGUAAGGCUAAGUUUGCUUUUCAUUUUAAAUCAUACAGAGCAUUUACAGACAAGUGAGUGCUGGAGAAAAUUGGUCUGGGCUCUUCAGGUUUUUUUUAACUAUGCAUCUAUCUUAUUUUCCUUUUUUUUCCCCAAUUAUUGCAGUUCUUGUUGGACACAUAAGAGGUGGAAGUCAGAGAGACCGUGUCACUGACAUUUCCCAUCCUUGCUGGGAAAUUGCUCCAGACCCGGAUACAGAAGUUUGUCUUCAUGUUCUGCGGCUCCUCCAGUCUGUGAUUCUGGAGCCAGAAGUAUUAGCCAAGUCAGCCUGUGAGAUGCGUGACACUUUGCCAUUUCAACGUAUCAUUACACUGUCAAAGAGCC